rnacentral:rRNA from 1 species
UACGGGGGGGGCAAGCGUUGUUCGGAAUUACUGGGCGUAAAGGGCUCGUAGGCGGCCAACUAAGUCGGAUGUGAAAUCCCCAGGCUCAACUUGGGAACUGCAUCCGAUACUGGAUGGCUUGAAUUCGGGAGAGGGAUGCAGAAUUCCAGGUGUAGCGGUGAAAUGCGCAGAUAUCAGGAGGAACACCGGUGGCGAAGGCGGAUCUCUGGGCCUGUCCUGACGCUCAGGCGCGAAAGCUAGGGGAGCAAACAGG